rnacentral:rRNA from 1 species
GACGAACGCUGGCGGCGCGCCUAACACAUGCAAGUCGAACGGAGUUUUCUGAAUUGAUUCUUUCGGGAUGAUUUUUGGAAAACUUAGUGGCGAACGGGUGAGUAACGCGUGAGUAACCUGCCCUGGAGUGGGGGACAACAGUUGGAAACGACUGCUAAUACCGCAUAAGCCCACAGUACCGCAUGGUACAGAGGGAAAAGGAGCAAUUCGCUUCAGGAUGGACUCGCGUCUGAUUAGCUAGUUGGUGGGGUAACGGCCUACCAAGGCGACGAUCAGUAGCCGGACUGAGAGGUUGAUCGGCCACAUUGGGACUGAGAUACGGCCCAGACUCCUACGGGAGGCAGCAGUGGGGAAUAUUGCACAAUGGGGGAAACCCUGAUGCAGCGACGCCGCGUGGAGGAAGAAGGUCUUCGGGAUUGUAAACUCCUGUUGUCAAGGACGAUAAUGACGGUACCUGCAGAAAAGCAACGGCUAAACUACGUG